CGGGAGUUGGUCUUCGCAUCAGAAGCUAGAAGGUCUUCGCAUCCGUCUUCCCGGUUGCUUCUUGCAGCGUAGCGCUCCGCCAUAGCAACGGCAACCUAUUCAUAUUGAAUCCCUAGUUGGUUGUUCAGAGAGGAACCCAACUGCUAAGAUCUAAUCAAAAGCAAUCACUUUCCAGCACCUUUCAUCAAUUUCGUCGAAACAGUGAGACCCACCAUGGAAUUACUUUCCAGCACCUUUCCUUCUCAAAUCUUCCAUCUCUGUGCUCAGACCUUGAGCGUUCUCCUUCUUCAGCGCCGCCGCCUGCGCCAUCAGCUCGUCCAGGUGCUGCUGCUCCCGGGUCUUCGCAUCCGCUUCCGCAUCAAACAUCGAAAACACAGUGCGCAACAUCAAUCAAGGAUUGAUUUUAUUUGUUCAAGGAGAUCAAACACAAACUAUGCUAAUAGAUCUUUAAUUUCUUCUUAACCAACAAAAACCAAGAAAUCUUAGCACAGAGAUGGAAGAUUUGAGAAGGAGAAGAGAUUUGAAGAGAAGAAAAUUAGAAGCUAGAAGGGAAAGUGAAGAAUUGGACUUGUAAGGACGGAUUUGCCCUUCAACUUCACGGCUGAGUAACCGUGAUUGUAACUUUGGACUAACAUUGUCCAACUUUUUAAAAGUCUGGGUAUAAUGUGGCAAAAUUAAUAAAAUCGGACUAAAUGUGUCCAACCCACAAUAAGUGUAAGACCAAAAAAGGAAUUUACUCAAAAAAAAAAUCACCCUACAAGGUGGAAUUAAUUGAUCUAGAGUCUACAAGGUAUAAUGUAAUAUAAUUUGUACAAAUUUAGUUGGGGUGAUUUUUCUCACUAUAAUUAGAACAUGGAUCUGAGUUCACCUUGCAAGGUA